rnacentral:rRNA from 1 species
UACGUAGGUGACAAGCGUUGUCCGGAUUUACUGGGCGUAAAGAGCGCGCAGGCGGUCGUUCAAGUCGAGUGUGAAAGCCCCCGGCUCAACUGGGGAGGGUCACUCGAUACUGAUCGACUCGAAGGCAGGAGAGGGAAGUGGAAUUCCCGGUGUAGUGGUGAAAUGCGUAGAUAUCGGGAGGAACACCAGUGGCGAAGGCGACUACCUGGCCUGUUCUUGACGCUGAGGCGCGAAAGCUAGGGGAGCGAACGGG